rnacentral:rRNA from 1 species
UGCCUACGGGACGCAGCAGUGGGGAAUCUUCCGCAAUGGGCGCAAGCCUGACGCAGCGACGCCGCGUGAGGGAUGAAGGUCUUCGGAUCGUAAACCUCUGUCAGCAGGGAAGAACGGUCACUGUGCUAAUCAGCAGUGAAUUGACGGUACCUGCAAAGGAAGCACCGGCUAACUCCGUGCCAGCAGCCGCGGUAAUACGUAGGGAGCAAGCGUUGUCCGGAAUUACUGGGCGUAAAGGGCGCGUAGGUGGGGGCUUAAGUCAGGUGUGAAAACUCCGGGCUCAACCUGGAGACUGCAGUUGAAAC